GUUUGGGAGCUUCUCCAGCGAUUCCCCACAUACAAAACAUCCCAGGGCCACCAGCCUCCCCAGCGCCAGCUGUUUCCACUUCCGGCACAUAUGUUCACUCACGUAAAUUGUUGACUAACUUCACAUCCAGAAUUUUAAACAGAGGAAAACCCGGGGCUGGUCUACACCCACCAGAAGAGCAGAGAUAAGGAGGGGGAAUUUCAACAACAAACAAACGAAAAAGCAGAACGAUGCCAGAGAACCUACGUUUACCCAGGACAGCAGACUUCCCCCGCGUUUAUGGCUUCCUGAACCAGCGCUGCUGCAUCACGGUAGCGAAGCCCGGUGAACCGACUUCUAGGGUGAACUAGAUAAGCGAGAACAGAGAAGCAGAGUGAGCUACGCAACCCAUGGUGGGAGCGACAACAGGACCGCAGUCAAAAGCCUGGCUCACAGCGAAUGGACACUACCGUCAACGGCCUGUAGUGUCAGGAGCUCAGAGUCCCAAGCCAGACCUCCACGGUUGAGUUCCAACUCUGCCACUUGGGAGCUGUGUGACCUGGUAGUCUGUCUCCUGCUGGGGGCUUCCAGGAUGACCCUCAUCCCCAGUGUUUCUGACCAUUUUUGUGAAUUUGGUGUUUCUUUGGGAACAAAUCUCUGCUGCAGUCGUAGCUGAGGAUGGCUCAGAUCUGGCCACCAAGGGCACUGUCCUGGGGAGAGACGAGUUCUCGCUUAAAGACAUUGUUCAUAAAAAGUCAACCUACGGAGACAGGUAUCUGCAUAGCCAACUCUCCAUUAUCCAUGGUGCAGGUCAACUGUGUUCUGCGGGCAUCUCUCCAUCCCCUCAGCCUCCCCUCAGCCUCCUUCCAGCCCCCACAGCGCCCUGUGUUGGAUGUCUACUUGCACAUGCCUCCCCAGAGGGCCAGCCAUCCUGAGAGAGAGGGUAAUGUAAAGGGCUGGGAUGUGGAAGGAAGGAAGACGUAGGGGCUGGUUACCCACCAUCUUGGACUAGUUUCAUUAUUUCUCCUUCCUCCUUGUGGAUAAUUGAAGUGUGAACACAUGUUCUCAACAUGUUACCUCCAAUCUUGCUGAAACGCCCUGGACUACAUAUUAUGUCCAGAUUAAUUUCUUCCCCCAGCCUGAUGUAGAACCAUGAACCGAGAGGUACAUAAUAUGUGAUAUAUUUUACAGUAACAUUCAGCAAACUUGUCUACCAUUGAAAGGUUCAUUUCGAGUUGUGUUAAUCGAAGGCAAGUUGACUCAUUUGUCCACGACAAUGCCCUCAUUUCCCUUUGAGCAAUUAUCAAGUGUGCUUGACGCAGAGCAGCUGACCUUCGAAUACAAGGCUGGGCUGGGGGUGGGGUGGGCCUGGACUGUCAGUGUGGAUUUGGCAGCAUGAGUUGCUCCAAAGAAUCCUGAUUUCUUAUGCGUGAACUCCUGACCCCGGCGCUGGAGCCUGGCGAGCGGGCGGGAAGGAAGGUGAACUCCCGCUGAUUCAGGGUCCCUCCCAGGCGGCCUUUUCCACGGUGUCAGCAGUGUUCACCUCACUUUCCUCUCCUCCCUCUUCCGCCCCCCUAUAAGUCCUGUCCCUGGAAGCACUUCUGAGUUGCCAGGAAUCAUGAACAUUGGGAAACAAUCCAAAAAGCUGGGUGGCUACUUUAUUUUCCGUAGCCCACACGGUCACACGUGGCCCCGGUCUCAGCAUCUGGUCAUAGGUGUGGACACAGCAUGGCCUAAAGGAAGGAACAUGGGACCACAAAGAGGGGCCUUCAGUGACUCAGGUACCAAGCAAGCAUGUGGCUUGGAGGCCAGCCUUUCUUAAGGGCCUGUCUGGGUGAAGACCGAGAAAUGUUCUAUGGUGGUUUCAGAAUUUUCUCCCCUAGCUUCAUUACUUGGAGCGGUGCUUCUCGAUGUUGAAGCUGGAGGUCUGAGGACCACACUUUCAGUAGGAAGAUGACCAGGCCCCACGGCCACGUCGUUUCCAGGAGAUGGUAACAAAACGAGGAGGAAAGGCCCAGAUGUCAACAUGCCUGCCAUUGAGGAUCACAGGAAGUGCCCUUAAAACAAAUAUCAGGUUCUGACCUGGAGAAACAGCUCCUUUCUUUGAUUUCAAAACAUGGCUAAUGUUCCACUGUGCAAGAAUAUUUCGAACAUCCCAAUUGGAAAAAAAAAGGUUCCAAAGGCGAAGUCUAAGCAGCCGCACGAGGACCUGCUGUUACGCUUCCUUAGCUCUCUGGUGCAGGUGGAGCUCAGCUGUCUAUCAAACGAUGAGGAACUCAGUUGUGUGAGCAAACAGCCCUCAUUCACAUUUGACAAAAUCUGCCUAAAGUAAUAAGGUGAUGAAAACUUCCGAACUUCUCUCGAGCUGGACAUCUUCUCCCGAAUGCCUCUGAACCUCUCCUGCGAAUGCAGUUCCGUGGAUGCAGAAGCUGUUUGCAGAUUCCCUCUGCUAGUGUCCUUGGUCAGUCAAAGGCACCCCCAUAGAAGUCCCGUGCGAGUGCGUGCAGCCGUCACUGGUAAAGCCAGCAGCUGGGUAGCACUUCUUUUCACACUUCACAUCCUUGAGCUUAUCCUUGGAUUUGCGUGGGUGGCACCUGUUUGCACAGCCUACCCUCAUCUGAGAUUCUGCCUCCUCUACUGGGCAGGUUGAAGCCUUUUCUUGCCCCCUAUAAAGCAACAGCUCAUUCCUGAGUUGUGUGUGUCAAGCUGGUAUGUCUACUCUUCUCAUUAAAAGGUUCACUGGAACUAACCAAUAAGAUCACCCUUUGAAAUAUUUUCUGCGCUCUACUUUUAGAAGAAAGAGCCAGAUCAUCUAAAGGAAGCAAACUGGUAUCAUGGCUUUUGAGAAAAUGAACAAACAACAAAACAUGUUCCAGAAUGUGUUGGGUCCAACACACAGUUACCCAGUUUCUUGCACUUUCUACAUUAACAUGUACUCACUAAUCCUACCUGAUUGUUUAGAAUAAACAGUUAUUCUGGAGCCCCUCAUUAAACGCUCGAAAAAGAGCAUAGGUUCAAUAUUUUACCCCAAAGCAGGAAAUCAAACCAUGUUUUUAGAAAGUAAAUAUCAACUGACAGAAUGAAUGACAAAGAAAGAGAGAGAGGGAUUGACUGGCC
rnacentral:lncRNA from 1 species